CAGCCGCCGCGGUAAUACGUAGGGUCCGAGCGUUGUCCGGAAUUAUUGGGCGUAAAGAGCUCGUAGGCGGCGUGUCGCGUCUGCUGUGAAAGACCGGGGCUUAACUCCGGUUCUGCAGUGGAUACGGGCACGCUAGAGGUAGGUAGGGGAGACUGGAAUUCCUGGUGUAGCGGUGAAAUGCGCAGAUAUCAGGAGGAACACCGGUGGCGAAGGCGGGUCUCUGGGCCUUACCUGACGCUGAGGAGCGAAAGCAUGGGGAGCGAACAGGAUUAGAUACCCUGGUAGUCCAUGCCGUAAACGUUGGGCGCUAGGUGUGGGGACUUUCCACGGUUUCCGCGCCGUAGCUAACGCAUUAAGCGCCCCGCCUGGGGAGUACGGCCGCAAGGCUAAAACUCAAAGGAAUUGACGGGGGCCCGCACAAGCGGCGGAGCAUGUUGCUUAAUUCGACGCAACGCGAAGAACCUUACCAAGGUUUGACAUCACCCGUGGACCUGUAGAGAUACAGGGUCAUUUAGUUGGUGGGUGACAGGAGGUGCAUGGCC
rnacentral:rRNA from 1 species